UACGUAGGUGGCAAGCGUUGUCCGGAUUUAUUGGGUUUAAAGGGUGCGUAGGCGGUCUUUUAAGUCAGUGCUGAAAUACUCCAGCUUAACUGGAGGGGUGGCAUUGAUACUGGAAGACUUGAGUGCAGUCGAAGUAGGCGGAAUUGACGGUGUAGCGGUGAAAUGCUUAGAUAUCGUCAAGAACACCGAUAGUGAAGACAGCUAACUAGACUUAUACUGACGCUGAGGCACGAAAAGUGUGGGGAGUCAAAACAGG
rnacentral:rRNA from 1 species